CCGUAGCUCAAUUGGAUAGAGCGUCUGACUACGAAUCAGGAGGUUGGGAGUUCGAGUCUCUCCGGG
rnacentral:tRNA from 1 species